CGUCCUCCAACCCUCACCCUGGCCGGCAAUGGUGCUGGCGGCGGCGGCGGCGGCGGUGGCGGUGGC
rnacentral:miRNA from 1 species